CCUACGGGAGGCAGCAGUGAGGAAUAUUGGUCAAUGGACGAGAGUCUGAACCAGCCAAGCCGCGUGAAGGAUGACUGCUCUCUGGGUUGUAAACUUCUUUUAUAAGGGAGUAAAAGAAGGUACGUGUGUCUGUAUGCAUGUAUCUUAAGAAUAAGGAUCGGCUAACUCCGUGCCAGCAGCCGCGGUAAUACGGAGGAGCCGAGCGUUAUCCGGAUUUAUUGGGUUUAAAGGGAGCGUAGAUGGUUUGUUAAGUCAGGUGUGAAAGCUUGAGGCUCAACUGUGAAAUUGCAAUUGAUACUGUCAGUCUUGAGUACAGUUGAGGUAGGCGGAAUUCGUGGUGUAGCGGUGAAAUGCUUAGAUAUCACGAAGAACCCCGAUGGCGAAGGCAGCUUACUAAACUGUGACUGACGUUGAGGCUCGAAAGUGUGGGUAUCAAACAGGAUUAGAUACCCGGGUAGUC
rnacentral:rRNA from 1 species